UCCUCUGUGGCGCAAUUGGCUAGCGCGUCUGACUGUUACAGCUUGCAGUAGCAGUCCAUCAGGAGGUUGGAAGUUCGAGCCUUCCCGGAGGAG
rfam:Alternaria alternata strain SRC1lrK2f unplaced genomic scaffold CC77scaffold_26, whole genome shotgun sequence.